UUUCCGUAGGUGAACCUGCGGAAGGAUCAUUAGCAAAAAGAUGGAGGAGGGUAUCCUUUCCAUAAGAGCGCGGUGGCUUGCCACUGUGACGGCGGAGGCCUGUGGGUCGACGCCUGUGGGGGGGGUGGUGGUGGGUGUGGUGGGUAGUGGUGGUAGUGUGGGGCAGUAGCCUGUGGGCUGCUGUUGUCAUUUGUGGGGCAGUGGGCUGCUGUUGCCAUUUGUGGGGCAGUGGGCUGCUGCUGCCAUUCAUGCCACGCCACUGCCGCAUGCCACAUAUCCUAUCCCAUCCUGUUCUACCCCCCCACUCAUCAUAGUCUCAUGACAUGUUUGUUGGGUUGACUGAAUGAGAAUCUUAUCACAAACAACUUUUAACAAUGGAUCUCUUGGCUCUU
rnacentral:misc_RNA from 1 species